rnacentral:rRNA from 1 species
UACGGAGGGUGCGAGCGUUACCCGGAUUUACUGGGUGUAAAGGGCGUGUAGGCGGUCUCUCAAGUCCGAUGCUAAAGACCGAGGCUCAACCUCGGGAGUGCGUUGGAUACUGUGAGGCUAGACGGUCGGAGAGGGCAGCGGAAUUCUCGGAGUAGCGGUGAAAUGCGCAGAUACCGAGAGGAACGCCAAUAGCGAAGGCAGCUGCCUGGACGAUUUGCGACGCUGAGGCGCGGAGGCGUGGGGAGCGAACCGG